CUUUUCUCUGCUUCCUGGCCUGAAUCGGAAGCUGUCAUCUUGUACCACAAGAACAUUGGAGACCAUGUAUAAAAGGGGACUGUUACUACUUGGCAUACUGAAACAGGAAAGCAUUCUGAGGGCUGAGGAUGCACCUCAAAGCUUUCCUGAGCCCAAAACAAACCAGAAACCUUGCCUUCUGCACUCAGCAAGCUCAGCUGCUAACCUUUAUAAUCACCCUCCGCUGUGAACCAGGAAGGAAGGAGAAGAAGAGGAAGGAAGAGUCUGGAUGAAGCUGUUAAGCGGAACCCAGAGGAAGUUGCUGCACAAGUUUGGGAAAUGAAAUAAAACAGUGCAGAGAUAGAUGUGUAAGCAUGAAGGUCCUCCUGGCUGUGUGAGGCCCCUUCCUUCCCUCUCACAUCGUAGUGACAUGUGUUCUUGAAAUGUAGAAUUUGGUGCUGUUGGGAAAGUUAUGACUUGAUCCUCAUUUUCAUUAUAAAUUUGAUAUUUGCCCAUUGUAUUUUU
rnacentral:lncRNA from 1 species